rnacentral:rRNA from 1 species
CCUACGGGAGGCAGCAGUGAGGAAUAUUGGUCAAUGGCCGCAGGGCUGAACCAGCCAAGUCGCGUGAGGGAUGACGGUCCUAUGGAUUGUAAACCUCUUUUGUCAGGGAGCAAAGGGCGCCACGUGUGGCGCUUUGCGAGUACCUGAAGAAAAAGCAUCGGCUAACUCCGUGCCAGCAGCCGCGGUAAUACGGAGGAUGCGAGCGUUAUCCGGUUUUAUUGGGUUUAAGGGGUGCGCAGGCGGAAUGUCAAGUCAGCGGUAAAAUUUCGGGGCUCAACCCCGUCGUGCCGUUGAAACUGGCGUUCUUGAGUGAGCGAGAAGUAUGCGGAAUGCGUGGUGUAGCGGUGAAAUGCAUAGAUAUCACGAAGAACUCCGAUUGCGAAGGCAGCAUACCGGCGCUCAACUGACGCUCAUGCACGAAAGCGUGGGUAUCGAACAGGAUUAGAUACCCUUGUAGUC